GCAGCCCCGGUGGGUGUUCGGGUCCGGGCUGCUCCCCAGUGCCGCGCAUUCGGGGCAGGUUUAAUUAAGAGGCUGACUCUAAAUUCUCACUCUGAAACCCAAGGUGAAACCUUCCUGACAAAAAGAGGAAAAUCAUUCUUCAGACUCUGAAUUGUGGUCCCUCUCCUUCCUUAAUGAAUUGGGAGAUUCAUUCACCCCACAGUCUGAAGGGCAAUACAAAGCAUGGAACAGAAAACACAGACAAGAAUGAUACAGGAACUGGAAGUUCCCUUUGUGGCUUUACAUCAUAAGAUGGCAGAACUGUGAUUACAGG